rnacentral:rRNA from 1 species
AUUGAACGCUGGCGGCAUGCCUUACACAUGCAAGUCGAACGGUAACAGGUCUUCGGAUGCUGACGAGUGGCGAACGGGUGAGUAAUACAUCGGAACGUGCCUAGUAGUGGGGGAUAACUACUCGAAAGAGUGGCUAAUACCGAAUGAGAUCUACGGAUGAAAGCAGGGGCUCGCAAGACCUUGUGCUACUAGAGCGGCCGAUGGCGGAUUAGGUAGUUGGUGGGAUAAAAGCUUACCAAGCCGACGAGCUGUAGCUGGUCUGAGAGGACGAUCAGCCACACUGGGACUGAGACACGGCCCAGACUCCUACGGGAGGCAGCAGUGGGGAAUUUUGGACAGUGGGCGAAAGCCUGAUCCAGCAAUGCCGCGUGCAGGAUGAAGGCCUUCGGGUUGUAAACUGCUUUUGUACGGAACGAAAAGCCCCGGGUUAAUACCCUGGGGUCAUGACGGUACCGUAAGAAUAAGCACCGGCUAACUACGUGCCAGCCGCCGCAGUAA